UACGAAGGGGGCUAGCGUUGUUCGGAAUCACUGGGCGUAAAGCGCACGUAGGCGGCGCGUUAAGUCAGGGGUGAAAUCCUGGAGCUCAACUCCAGAACUGCCUUUGAUACUGGCGCGCUCGAGUGUGGGAGAGGUUGGUGGAACUCCGAGUGUAGAGGUGAAAUUCGUAGAUAUUCGGAAGAACACCAGUGGCGAAGGCGGCCACCUGGCCCAUUACUGACGCUGAGGUGCGAAAGCGUGGCGAGCAAACAGG
rnacentral:rRNA from 1 species